CAAUGUUGUACUGGUUUCUGCUGUACAACAACAUGGAUCAGCCAUAAGUAAAAACAUAUUCCCUCCCUCUGGAGCCCCCCUCACCCCUGCCACCAUCUCACCCCUCUGAGUUCACAGAGCACCAGGCUGAGCUCCUUGUGUUAUACACUAGCUUCCCACCAGCUACCUGUUUUACACAUGGUGGUAUGUGCAUUUCAGUGCUACACUCUCCAUCCGUUCCACCCUCUCCUUCCCUGCUGUGUCCACAAAUCCAUUCUCUACAUCUGUGUCUCUGUUCCGCCCCGCAGAUAGAUUCAACGGUACCAUUUUCCUAGAUUUCAUAUUUAUGCAGUAUUCCGACAGGUGUGGGGCCUUGGUUUUGAUUUGCAUUUUCGUGAUGAUUAGUGAUGCUGAGCCAGCCAGAGAUCCUUUUAAGCACUCUGGUGCUAGCAAGCACUCGAUCAAUUUCAGCUAUUCUUUUUAUUAAUAUGUGGUCCUUCAGCAAAUAUAGCUGGGAAAGAUGGCUCACUGAGCCAUUAACUCCUUGGUAUGAAUUAGUUUCUCAGCAGGAAUAGUUGAGAAAGGACCUCAGGAUGGGAGCAAGGAUGGAGUUACAGAGAGGUAGAGCUUAAAAAAAAAGAAUGCUAGGGAAUCUAAAGCAAAUCUCUGUGGUUUUGCUGAGGCCCACCCCGGCACAGCAUGAAGAUAGCUCUGCAAGCAGCCGUUGGCGUAUCUCCCUCUGAGCCCAGCCAGGCGGUGGAGGAAAUGAAGAGGCGCUCCAGGGAGGGGCACGGCCAAGAGGCCAGGGCAGAGCGGGGAGAGCCGGUGGUGAGCGCAGCUGCCCUGCGACAUGGACGGCCCCUCGCGCUGCUGCUGCUGGCCCAGGACACAGACAGGUUCCUAUGGAAGCAUGAAACACAGCGAGGAGAAGAGAAUUGCCGAUUCCCAGGGGCCUGUGUCUGCCAGCGGCUGCUGAGUACCUCUGAGAAACUCUGCUUUGAGCUAAUAGGAACCCCCUGUUCUGGGAAGAUCAGUAUAUGGAACAAAAACCUCUGGGUGGACCCCUGGGCAAGAUGAAUUUGACCGACCAUAUGUUCCAGGACUCCAGCGAGAACAUCACCACCUCAACGUCAGGCCCCACACUACCCAGCAGCCUAGACACAGCGGCCACAGCUGUUUCUGGCUCCAUUGGUGUCGUGGCCCUCAUCUUGCUCCUGGUGGGACUCUUGUCCGUGACUCUGAAAAAAUGGAGGCAUGAGAGACUAUUUAAGAAACAACAGAAGCAUCAGACCAACUUUCUCCACAAAUCCUUGGAGCUUUCCUGCCAUGCCGAUGCCAUAUAUUCCAACGUGAUCAACCUGGCACCCAGGAAAGAGGAUGACUUUGCUGUCUAUGCCAACGUGCCCCCUUUCAGCCGCCCCAGGAGGACAUCACCAGACCACGUGGAAUAUGCCUCCAUUGUAUUUCACUGAUGAGAGGCUCGUGAGAUGCUUCAGAGUGGAGAGUCAGACCUGUGCCUAUCUGUAUCCUGAUGCGGCUUUUGCUCUAGAUAUGUGUGUAUAUGUGUGCAUGUGUGUGUGUGUGUCUUUGCACGUGCCUGUGUGUGUUCAUGCCCGCCCAUGCUCAAAAACCAUAAUAUGUAUUCUGAUGGAGGUAAACGACUUGGUAUUUCUUCUAAUUUAUUGGAAGCAAGGUGCAGUUCUAAUGGAAAGGGGUGACAUCUGAGUGACAAGGGACAUAGUCAUUUCAGCCACUCUGAGCCAGAGGCAGGUUCCUGAGAGAGACUGGCCGAAAGAAGAGCCGUCUCUCUCCCCUGCCCCUCAUAAGGCCAGGGCUGAGGAGCAGGGCUCACCCCACUCAGGGACCAGCUCCCGGACUUCGUCUCUGCUGUGCUGCCGUGUAAGGAGCUGACUCCCUGCAGAGGUUAACGCGUGCGUCACACUCAGGUCUGUGGCUGAUCACCACGCACAUUUUCACAGCAGCUUUCCAGGGCCAUGCAGCAAGUGUGGAGGGAGGCGGCGUGGGGGAGCUGCAAGUCCAUGGGGUCUCAAAGAGUUGGACAUGACUGAAGCAACUUAGCACGCAAAUGCAAUGGAGAAAAGAAAAUUUCAUUUAAAAACAAAGCUUAUGGAAGCCACUUUCAUCUUCGAGGAUGAUGUGAUUCACAUCGUUAAGAAAACACCUAUUCUACGGAUCCAUUCCAUCUAUAGAGACUGGAGAGGGGAGAUGAAAGUAGGAAGGAAACACAAAGAUUUCCAAGCCUCUGCCUUCUUUUCUAUUGAUAAUGGGAAAGUUCAAGAGCAGGCAACCCUUUGUCUUUAACACAGCUGUAUGAUGACCAGGUACCCUGAUUUGUUGGGGAUUUUCCUGGUGUACAACUGUGGUCCCAGCAAAAUUAUUAUUAGAUCCCCUUUCAUUCUCUAAAUUGUCAUAGUUUGGAUGAUAGAUUAUGUGGUCACCUGUUCACAAGAUUUUGAGAGUGCAAAAGCAAUUCCAAGACCAAUAAGGAAGGGAAAGCAAAGUUGUUUUGUACAAUAAAGUGGGAACGGAAUCGGGGGGGGAGUGGAGGAGGCUGCAUGUACGGUGCCUUGGGGAGGUGCGAGGGCAGUCUGGAGGCCAAACGGAGCUAAAAUCACAUAAAGAUUUCCACCACCAUAAACCUUGGUAAAGCCCAGUGAACACAACAAUUCCUGGUGCGGGUAUUUAGGGGAAGGGGGCACCAUGGAAAGGGAACCGAAGUCUACAUCUAGGUCAGCACAGAGCAGAAAUAAAGGGAAGUGGUAAGAGGUGCAAUAUGAAUGAGCUGGACCGUUCAGAGGAAGGCUGAGCUCAGAGCCGGAAGAGAACACAAGAACGCAAACUCUCUGAAACUUCUCAGAAAUCUCAGGGAGGGGACCAGAGUUUCGGAAGAACCUACAGUUGGGAGGUUAACAACGGUAUUUAAUGGGUAGUUUGACCUCAGCAUGAAUCUGGGUUGUAAAAUUUAAACAGCUUCCUUUAUGGUGAGACUUCUCAGAGGCUUCAAUAUGUAAUCUACUUCAUGAAUAAAGUCCUUCAUGAAU
ensembl:lncRNA uncharacterized LOC113906329